AUUGAACGCUGGCGGCAUGCUUUACACAUGCAAGUCGAACGGAAACAUGAAAGAGCUUGCUCUUUUGAUGUCGAGUGGCGAACGGGUGAGUAAUACAUCGGAACAUGUCCUUUUGUGGGGGAUAACUACUCGAAAGAGUAGCUAAUACCGCAUAAGACCUAAGGGUGAAAGCGGGGGACCUUCGGGCCUCGCGCAGAUGGAGUGGCCGAUGACUGAUUAGCUAGUUGGUGGGGUAAAGGCCUACCAAGGCGACGAUCAGUAGCUGGUCUGAGAGGACGACCAGCCACAUUGGGACUGAGACACGGCCCAA
rnacentral:rRNA from 1 species